UACGUAGGGGGCAAGCGUUGUCCGGAUUUAUUGGGCGUAAAGAGCGUGUAGGCGGCCAUUCAGGUCAGCUGUGAAAACUCGAGGCUCAACCUCGAGACGUCGGUUGAAACCGUUUGGCUAGAGUCCGGAAGAGGAGAGUGGAAUUCCCGGUGUAGCGGUGAAAUGCGCAGAUAUCGGGAAGAACACCCGUGGCGAAGGCGGCUCUCUGGGCAGUAACUGACGCUGAGGAGCGAAAGCGUGGGGAGCGAACAGG
rnacentral:rRNA from 1 species